GAGUCCACUGAGCAGGUCCGGAGUGAAGUCAGGUCGAGGCUGCAUAAGUACCAGAGCAUGAGAAUGUGCAGGCAGAAAUGCCAAUUUUAAGACUGCUAUGCUUAUAACUGGACUGUUCUAUAAAAGGAUGAAUAAUGGAACUUACUUAGCCAUGGAGGAGUUGAUGGUUAAUAUCAAGUCAACAAAAAUUUGAAGUACUCUUGACCCUUUUUCCAAUGUGUAAAUUAGUAAUAUAAUGGCAAUAUUCAGACAAGCAAAUGUAGACUAAAUUCC